rnacentral:rRNA from 1 species
GAUGAACGCUGGCGGCGUGCCUAAUACAUGCCAGUCGAGCGAACAGACGAGGAGCUUGCUCCUCUGACGUUAGCGGCGGACGGGUGAGUAACACGUGGAUAACCUACCUAUAAGACUGGGAUAACUUCGGGAAACCGGAGCUAAUACCGGAUAAUAUAUUUAACCGCAUGGUUCAAUAGUGAAAGACGGUUUUGCUGUCACUUAUAGAUGGAUCCGCGCCGCAUUAGCUAGUUGGUAAGGUAACGGCUUACCAAGGCAACGAUGCGUAGCCGACCUGAGAGGGUGAUCGGCCACACUGGAACUGAGACACGGUCCAGACUCCUACGGGAGGCAGCAGUAGGGAAUCUUCCGCAAUGGGCGAAAGCUUGACGGAGCAACGCCGCGUGAGUGAUGAAGGUCUUCGGAUCGUAAAACUCUGUUAUUAGGGAAGAACAAAUGUGUAAGUAACUAUGCACGUCUUGACGGUACCUAAUCAGAAAGCCACGGCUAACUACGUG